CCUACGGGAGGCAGCAGUAGGGAAUAUUGCUCAAUGGGGGAAACCCUGAAGCAGCAACGCCGCGUGGAGGAUGAAGGUUUUCGGAUUGUAAACUUCUUUUGUUAGAGAAGAUUAUGACGGUAUCUUACGGAGAAGCACCGGCUAACUCCGUGCCAGCAGCCGCGGUAAUACGGAGGGUGCCAGCGUUAUUCGGAAUUACUGGGCGUAAAGAGCGCGGAGGCGGGAUAGCAAGUCAGCUGUGAAAUCGUAUGGCUUAACCAUAGAACUGCAUUUGAAACUGUUAUUCUAGAGUAUGGGAGAGGUAGGUGGAAUUCUUGGUGUAGGGGUAAAAUCCGUAGAGAUUAAGAGGAAUACUCAUUGCGAAGGCGACCAGCUAGAACAUAACUGACGCUGAUGCGCGAAAGCGUGGGGAGCAAACAGGAUUAGAUACCCUUGUAGUC
rnacentral:rRNA from 1 species